rnacentral:rRNA from 1 species
UACGUAGGGUGCGAGCGUUGUCCGGAAUUACUGGGCGUAAAGCGCACGUAGGCGGCGAUUCAAGUCAGAGGUGAAAGCCCGGGGCUCAACCCCGGAACUGCCUUUGAAACUAGAUUGCUAGAAUCCUGGAGAGGUUAGUGGAAUUCCGAGUGUAGAGGUGAAAUUCGUAGAUAUUCGGAAGAACACCAGCGGCGAAGGCGACUAACUGGACAGGUAUUGACGCUGAGGUGCGAAAGCGUGGGGAGCAAACAGG